UACGAAGGGGGCUAGCGUUGUUCGGAUUUACUGGGCGUAAAGCGCACGUAGGCGGAUCUUUAAGUCAGAGGUGAAAUCCCAAGGCUCAACCUUGGAACUGCCUUUGAUACUGGGGAUCUCGAGUUCGGGAGAGGUGAGUGGAACUGCGAGUGUAGAGGUGAAAUUCGUAGAUAUUCGCAAGAACACCAGUGGCGAAGGCGGCUCACUGGCCCAUUACUGACGCUGAGGCACGAAAGCGUGGGGAGCAAACAGG
rnacentral:rRNA from 1 species